rnacentral:rRNA from 1 species
AUUGAACGCUGGCGGCAGGCCUAACACAUGCAAGUCGAGCGGAGCGGCGGACGGGUGAGGAAUGCCUGGGAAUCUGCCUGGGAGUGAGGGAUAAAGUCCGGAAACGGGCGCUAAGACCGCAUAAUAUCAGAGGAGCCUAGGGCGGAUUGGCUGUGUGGGGGGGGAAAGGCCUACCAAGGCGACGAUCCGUAACUGGUCUGAGGGGAUGAUCAGUCACACUGGAACUGAGACACGGUCCAGACUCCUACGGGAGGCAGCAGUGGGGAAUAUUGGACAAUGGGCGAAAGCCUGAGCCAGCCAUGCCGCGUGUGUGAAGAAGGUCUUCGGAUUGUAAAGCACUUUAAGUUGGGAGGCGUUACCAACAGAAUAAGCACCGGCUAACUUCGUGCCAGCAGCCGCGGUAAUAC